rnacentral:lncRNA from 1 species
UUCCUCACCCCCCACAAACCCUAGCCGCGCCGCCCUGAAACCCCUAGAUCGGCGGUGGCGGCGCCGAUGCUAAUCACCCCCAAAUUUACACCCCUCGUCCUCCUCACUCUCCCCUUUCCAUUCCUCCCAUUGGUUUCCCUCGAAUAUUGCCGGAGCUCGUCGAAUCUUCGAUUGAAGUUUUCCGGCCAAGUCGCAAACUCAUCCAAACCGGCCCAAAGUCAUACCACACCAUCCCUGGACUUCCCUCAACCCAAAUCCAUGACCAUCUUCCUUCAAAUCUCGGUGAAGCGGUUCGAAUUUCAAAUCUAAGAAUUUAUGGCCAAAAUCCUAACCCAAAAUCUUUGUAAUUUUGGACCGUAAUAUCCUUAACCAUGUGUUCUCUUGUAAAAACACAUGGUUAGGGAUGUUGCGUGUCAAAAAUCUGGAGAGAUUCGAAUGGUAGUGCUUGGCCGGAGUAUUCUCUUCGUCGGUGAGUCUCUCUUCAACUGUCUAAGCUCGAUUUCCAUCAGUGUAGCCUAACAAUCUUUUCUUCUUCUCUAUUUGAAUUGAUCGAUUGUGGAAAUUGUCCAUGGUUAAUUCUGAUUUUUACUUGUUUUAAGUCUAAUUUUAUUAGGUUAAAUUAGUUCGUGUUUCUAUGCUUUAUCAGUUAGCCGUUUCAAUUAACAGUAAGACUUAGGCUCUGAAUUAUCGUUAAUUAGUCAGUUAGAUUAGUAGUUUAUUGAUCUGAUUGUUCCAGGACUUUGUUCUAUUUCUUGCUAAUAGGUGAUGAUUCCGUGAUUAGUUGUUAGCUUAGUCUAUUCUCAUGUUGAUGAUUACUUUUGAAUGUUUAUUGGCUUGGUAGAGUGUGCAUUAGGAUUAAUUGGUAGUAUGAUUCAGCUUGAAUACUUUGCAAUAGAGGUGAACCUGGUUGGUUAUAGCUGAACAAAAUCUUUUGUUUUGGCUAACUUUAAUUAAAUUCUAGCCAGGGUAAGGGACUGGGAUCAGUUGACCUUAGUCUGUAGUUUUCAGACUAUUAGAAGGACAUUUUAGGCAUAGAAAAGGUCAGUUUCUUUAGGAAUAGUAAUUUCAAAGUAGGGGUAAGGGUAGUAUAGGUAUUUUAGGGGUAGAAGAGCAUCCUAGGGCCUUCUAGAAGGGUACUUUAGUGUAGAUGUUAGCACAAUAGAGGGAUUUACUUGUGAGCAAGUCAAAAAUAAAGGGACUAAACUGAAAAUAAGGGAGAGACUAAAAAGAAACCUAAAAUGAAUCUAAAUUAAAUGCAAGUACUAUAAUAAUGACUCAUUUAUAUAAUUGUAAGAAAAUGAAUCUAAAUAUAAUCUUGGAGUAUUUCUUUUUGAGAUAUCAAAAUAUUUUUCCAUUAGAUAUUACAAAAAAGGAAUACUUCACUACACCAUAGAUAAAGUUAAAUGCAAGUUGCAAAGGCAAAAAGGCACAAGCCCGUCAUGAUGGACUUGAAUUUCUCAUUGUAACAGGGCGCGAACACUAUAAAAGGCAGCUUUAAUAAUUGAGAGUACACAUCAUUCAAGAGAAUUUCAUUGGAGGAAGCCUUUGGCAAUUUAAAUUCUUCUAAAUUAGUAGAGUUCCUCCUCUUCAAACUGCUACAAAGGAAGUAGUGGAGCUAGGAAUAAUUCAAGUAGAGAAUCUUUAGUCUACACUCAAUUUCUCUCCCUUAGGUGACAAAGUUAUGCAAGAACUUAAUCUAAGUUCCUCUAAUUCCUCCUAAACCUCCAGAUAUUGCUACUAAGCAAUCUAGUAAAGGAAUUGCCUUGUCUAUCCCCAACUUCAAAGAGAAACUAGUAGAGGGUGAACAUGAUGGUUCAAUCAAUAUGAUUGUUGACACAAAUGUCCAAAGUUUAAGUGAAUUUCAAAAUGAUGGACAAGAUGAUCAUUUGAUCCAUUCUAGAAAUGAAUGACAAGUUCAACUGUCACAAGAGUAUUUUCAACGAAUCUACCAUCCGUGGAGGUUCUCGACUAUAAUCAAGCUUCAAGGGAGAAAAAUCCAAUAUCAUCUCCUCAAAAAGAAGAAACAAGAAUUGUGGAAAAUAAAGAAGAAUUUUCCACUAAUUGAUUUAGGGUCUGGUUACUAUAUCACAAAAUUCAAUAGUGAAGAUAGUAUGCUAAGAGCACUUCAUAAUGGACCUUGGUUCAUUUUUGGACACUUUUUGUCAGUUCAAAAAUGGAUUCCAAAUUUUAUUACUUCGGAAACAAGAGUCUCUCAAACAACUGUCUGGAUAUGUUUACCUCAAUUACCAACUAAGUUUUAUGAUGGUUUAAUACUAAAAAAAUUAGUAACAAAAUUGGUAGUAUUUUAAAAAUCGAUCCAUGUACAUCCUCAACUCUUAGAGGAAUAUAUGCAAGGUUGUGUAUUGAAAUGCCAUUAGAGGUUCCAGUCAUCCCAUUUGUCUUCAUUGGCCAUCACAAGCAGGAUAUUCUUUAUGAGGGAGAAAAUUUUCUAUGUAAGAAAUGUGAAAGAUUAGGUCAUGCCAUGUCCAAAUGUCAAUAUAAAGUUUUAAAUGAUCCUCUUACUCCUGCCCUUUUGGAACCAACUUCCAACCAAUCUAAGGCUCAAAAUGAAUUCCAAGACAAAAAAGAAAAUGUUUUCCAGUCAUUCAAGGAAGAGGUUUCACAAACGGUGAGCUUCUCCAAAAAUAAGAAAACCAAUCACAGGACAAAGGAGUUGAAACAACCAUCUGCUAAGUUACACGACCAAAACAAUUGCAUGUCACGUAGCUCCUCAUCCCUCAAUUCUGUAGAAAUAGGUUGCAUGAGUAAAGUAACCAAUAAAGUUCCUUCUGCCAAAAUCUUAGAUAAAAAUCCAAACCACAAGACUACAAUGCCACUAGCAACAAGUUUGAAGCCUUGGUAACUUCGCAAAAAUUAAUUGAAUUUGAUAAUACAAAAUUGGGGAAUAAUGAGCUAGAUUGCAUGGCUCUUGACAUGGCUAUUGCUCAUAAACUGGAUGACCACUUUGUAGCAAAUAAUGUAGGCCAAUUAAAUCAAAUGCAAAGUAAUCAUCUCCUAUCUAGUACUAAUAAGUCCCUAAUUAGUACUAUUGACACGCCUAAUACUAAUUCCAAAGUCCUCCAAAAUUCUACUGCGUUACUAAUCACUCAUUCUAAUAGGAAAAUUACUUGCAUGGCUGAUUAUACUCAUGAUCGACAUCUGUUCCAAGAGAACUACCCUACCCCACAAAUGGCCAAUAAGUCCGAACAUGUUCUUGAGACAAAAUCAGGCCAAAAUCCUAUUAAAACCACUUUCUCAAGCAAUCUUAAAGACAUGCAAAUAGAUGUAAUUAUUUAGAAACACCCUACUUCCUCAAGUGACCUACUACCAACCAAAGAAAAACCCUUAAACUACCUUAAUAUAAAUCAACAAGCCCUCCAUAACAGUGCCAAAAAUCCAGUCUUUCAAUGAAGGAUAUAUCGAUGAUACAAAUCGUAAGACAUCUACGUACUCUCACUAUGUCAAACCCUCCACUCCCUCAAAACUCACAAAGGGGCAACCCAAUAUUCUUUGUCCAACCUCCAUUGCCUCAAGAUCAUCAACCCCUUUCUUGGAUAGAAUAAGGUCUAAUGGGCCAUUUAAUAUCAUUCAACAUGAUAUUGGAUGGACAAGAAACAAUAGUGUUUACCGUGAAAAUGGUAAUAACAAUUAAAUUUGAUUAUGGGAUUCUAAAAUUACAUGAUCUAUUUUUAUGCCAGUUGUUAAGCAGUUGAUGAUAUGUGUGAGACUUAAAAACAAGAUAAGAGUUAGCAAUAAGGUGAUAAUCAAACCGAUAGGUCAACAAUCGAGGACUCGAGUUUGUCGAUUCGGGGGCCUCGAGGUCGAUUUCGGAGCUCGGCUGGGAGCUAUCGAAGGCGGUCGAAGUAUGGCUAAUAGUUAUAAUAAAAUCAACGAAGGAUAUUUAUGGCCAAUGAUAAGCAAUAAAUGAAGAACAAUAAUGAAGAUAAUAAAUGGAAGCAAUAAUAUCAAUAGAAUGUGUUAGAGAGAAAAGAGAAUUUUCUUGUAUAUUUCGCGUGGAGCAACUGAAGCAGCCGAGAGCUUACAAAAUGACAAGGAUUCCCUUUAUAUAGGAGGGGAAUCCCAACAUAGUACAAAAUACAUUAAUGACAAAGAAGAGGAGAUGGGACAGCUAGAUGACAGCAUGAUACAGGGUUAGGGCAAUCCACUAGGCUCUGUUAGUCCUAGCCAUAUACCUUGGAAAUUCCCUAUUUCUACCAUAGUCAUGGUCCACAUUGUGCCAAGGUCGGGAGUCGACGAACCUCGAGGGAGGAAACUCGACCAUUGCCUUGUAGUCUCAAGGCUUUGAGAUGGUCUUUUGAGGUACCUCGAUGACGAGGAAUUGGACCCAUAGAUUUCACCGUAUAUAGAUAGUCCCCGCGUUUCUUAGAGAGGAGCGAUAUGAAAUGAUUUUGACAUUCGACUCUUCGAACUUCCCGCGAUUACGCCAUACCGAUGACGCAAGCCUCCGUGAUUACUGAAAUGUCCCAUCGUUUAAUUUCUCUAGGAUCAUUCAAUGAAUUACGGUUUCUCAUUCUUUAAAGCUAUAAUGUCGCUGCCGAUUUAGCUCCCAAGGACGUAUCAAAUGCGCUUGCCGUUAUGUCUUUCGAGGUUAAUAAUGGUGCCAUCAGUUACGCUGCCCCCCUUUUUAUAAAUGGGAGCCUCCUGAGAUCAACCUUUCAUCCAAGUAUCUUCCCAUAUCUAUCCACUCUUCUCUUCUUACUAUCCUUCUCCAUUGUCUUUCACCAUGUUUGAGGCCCAUGGCCUCAAGAUUGUAUGGCAGCAUUUCUAUCAGCCACAACCUAUCUCCUGGACUUUCUUUAGUUGAGCAAGAUUACACCGUUUCGUUGUUUAUUGUUGUUGUUUUUGUUGUUGUUGUUGUUGUUGUUGUCGUUGGCUCAGGACGAUGAAGUAGGGGGCCGAUUUCUCCUGGUUCGAAGGAUGUUUGGACUCUACACUGUUGCUCGGGAGAGCAUUCGGACUAUAUACCGUUGCUCACUCUCCUACCCUGGCCUGGUGUGGCACUUCAUCCUCUUGGUUUUCCAAGGGAUAAAAUGGCACAACAAGACAUUUGACUUGCACGGCCCAAUGUCCCAGAAGGCGGACCCGGAACAGCCGUGCAAGUAGGGUUGAUGCCCGCCGAAUCUUCAACCUCGGGCUUCGGCGUGCUAUGUCUUUUUGUUUUUCCUGCUUCUUCUGCGUCACUUUACUUUUCUUCAUCUUCCCACUUUCAUCUUAUUCAUCUUCACCCUCGGAGAUAUUAUUCUGAAGGACCGAGAUAAAACCCAGAGGAGAUAGCGGUCAAAGAUAUUGUCGCUGGGGAGGCAUGCCCGAAGGGAUGAUGCUCGAAGAUGUUGUUGCCAAUGAUGCAGCUUUGGGAGUAGGCUAGGCUCUAGGCUUUUUGCUAUAUGUG